rnacentral:rRNA from 1 species
UAUUACUUUGGCUAGACCGGCGCACGGGUGCGUAACACGUAUGCAACCUACCUUAUACUGGGGAAUAACUUCGAGAAAUCGGCGCUAAUACCCCAUAACAUUGCGAAGAGGCAUCUCUUUGCACUUAAAGCUCCGGCGGUAUAAGAUGGGCAUGCGUCCAAUUAGCUAGUUGGUGAGGUAAUGGCUCACCAAGGCUACGAUUGGUAGGGGUUCUGAGAGGAUGAUCCCCCACACUGGUACUGAGACACGGACCAGACUCCUACGGGAGGCAGCAGUGAGGAAUAUUGCGCAAUGGACGAAAGUCUGACGCAGCCAUGCCGCGUGCAGGAUGACGGCCCUAUGGGUUGUAAACUGCUUUUGUAUGGGAAUAAACCCUUCUACGUGUAGAAGGCUGAAGGUACCAUAAGAAUAAGCACCGGCUAACUCCGUGCCAGCAGCCGCGGUAAUACGGAGGGUGCAAGCGUUAUCCGGAUUUAUUGGGUUUAAAGGGUCCGUAGGCGGGCCG